AGUCAGGGUUGGACUCUUACAUUUCAUUGAAAAUCCUUAAAUAACAAAUUAUGUCAAUAUAGAUUUAAAUGCUUAUGUGUGUUACCUGGAUACUGCACGAAGGAUUUUACAUACGUUUUUCUCAAUCCCCAACCCCAAUAACGUAUAGAUACUACUAUAAAUUCAUUUUACAGAGGAACAAAAACCAAAGCUUAAAAGAAAAAAGAAAAAGAAAAACCAAGGCUUUAAGUUAAAUGAAUUAGAAUACUAUAAGAUUCACUUGAAUCAUGAGUAACUUAUGACCAACUUAAUCCCUUUCAAGUCCUCUGAAUGUUUUUGGAAAUAGCCUUUAAAAAAAUUAAAAGCUCCAAAGACUAUACAAAAAUUAUUUAUACAUUACUGCCCACGGCCUAAUACACAGAGUACUUCACACUAAUACAGCAGUAGGGUGCAACAGAGGUCCAAUCUCUUCCCUUCUCUUGGCUCCACUCUGCCCAGUAUCAAAAUGGCAUUUCCAUGGCAAUACAAAUCCAUAUUACAUAACCUCCGAAAAAUCUUCAUAGUCCUACGUCUAUUCCGGAAAACCGUAUUUAAAAGCAGGAUUGACGACCAAAGAAAAAUGAGAAAGUAACAUUUUAAUGUGGAGCUUAGUAAUCGCCUAGAAUGAAUGGCGAUAUACAGUUUACUGCACCCUCCAAUGCGCAAAAGAGGCAGGAUGGCAAAAUUCAUGACUAUCUUAAGCAAGCCAGGAGACUGCUAAAAAGGUAGGUAUUAGCUCAAUUCCAAGGGGGUGGGGCCCAGUUCACUUGGUGGCGGGCUCUAGAUGGCCAAAGAGGAAGGGAAAGAUAUCCGUUGGUGGCCAGCACCUCGCUAAAAAGGGUGGGUAGAGGCUAACUUCAAGGCAACGGCUGGGGCGAGAGUGUCCCAGGCCCGAAAACCUACUGUGGGGCUCCGCUGAGGCACCCGGUCUCCCGGUUUCCACACGCGUUCAGAGACACAAACUCACCCGCCGCUGAGGAAACGGUACUGCCUUCGCGACCUUCUGGGAUCCAGGUUACGAGUGCGCUCCACUGGUUCGAGAUUUCUGCCCGUCGCUCGCCAGGGAGACUGAGUGCCCAAGCGCCUACUCGCACAGGCCGCAAAUACAGCCGCGCUGCGCGGCGAGCUGAUGGAGGUCUUCCUCUUGCCCGGCGUGCACUGCGGCCGGGGGCGGGGAGCGCGGAACCAUAGAGAAGAACGUAUAUAGAUCGUCUCCGCUGUUGGCUCUGACUCACCAAGCCGAGACGAAUAACCAUAGAGAAGCAGCGUCUAGCGGUUACUAGAAAGGCCCGAACUGUAAAUUAUGACCCACCAUGUUUGAUUGGAGCCGACUGAAUCUUACGACUACGGGACGCCAUCUUGAGGUCAAGGUUCCGGCUGGGCACGGCGCGAGGAGUGUUAGAGGCUUUCUCACUUUUCGUAGUUUUUCGGGGGGUGGAACCUUGCUUUGUGAUUCCUUGAGGUUCGAGGAACUGAUAACUGGGCGCGAUCUGCAACCUUAGUGUUAAACCCCAAGUGCUGUUAUAACAACUACUCGAGAUCAACAAAUAAUUGGCAAAGGCUGUGGAGGUUUUUUGAAAAGCAAAAGCUUAUGCGUAGUUGUAGGGCCAAAGAGGUGGCUAGAAGAUGUUUGGAAAAACGUGAAAAGUCCUGUAAUACUAGUUAACACAGCUUUCGUUCUGUAAUCUAAACGUGCUAAAAGAACUUAGCUUAAGUUAAUGGAAAUGAAUAAAAUUAAUCAUAAAUGAUUACGUUAUUCCAAUUGUGGACCUUAUAGGCAAUAUCUAGUUACACGCCUUUCUCAACUGCUUGCCUCUAGGAAGGCAUAAAACGGAUUCAGUAUAAAGUUAUUGCCUCCCUGAGUUCCUGGUGCUGUGUUAAGUGCUGGAAGUAUGAAGGCAAAUGGAAGUGAGAUUUGUUCCUGUCCUGCAAGAACUGUGAGCCAGUGUGGGCCUCAUUCUAAGUCUGACUUCCCUAAUGCUCAGAAGAUGGCUAUGUUGAGUCCACAAACUUUUGAAUUCAGAAACAAGAUUGAGUUGAUUUCAGAAGCUCUCCCAGAAGAUCAAGAAAGAACUUUCCAGGAUCUCCAGGAACCUGAAUUGAGUCAUACGCCAAAGUGAGUUUCAUGCUCUUUGGCAAAACAAUCAUUGGCAGGAUAGAUGAAAGUAGCUUAGAAGUGACCAAUAUGUCAAGGUCCCAUGAGAAGACUGAAAAAAAGAGAAGAAAGAGGAAAGAAAAGAAUGACAAGAAAGAGAAAGAAAGAAACCAAUAUGCUCUUUGUUCUUUGCUUUUGCUUCCUCAAGCUUUUCUCUGUCUACAAAGCCAACCUCUCCUGCUCAGCUCAUCAGAACAUUCACUCCACUUUCUGGAAUGAAGUGUUGCCUGAUCCUAGAGUCGCAAUAAAGCCA
rnacentral:lncRNA from 1 species